CUCUCGUCCCCUGGAGGCAGAUAGCCAAACCUCCUUUCUGUUCGCAGUUAGACUCUGCUGCCUCCGGAUAAUCUUAGUUCUUCUGCUGUUUGCCCCUCGAAACCCCUAGGUCUCCUCCACCGCUGCCUCCACCGCCCGCUUCCUGUUUAUCCGCACUGCGCCUGCGCCAGAGACCGGCUCAGACCGGUCGCCUCAGCCCGACUCCCCCUCCUUCUUUUGGGCCAGCCUAUUGAGCUUCAUUUGGUAGGGGGAACUAGAACAGAGGGGACGAGAAAAGCGGGAGGUAAUGAAGGCGACGGGAUGUACUAUUUAUGCUUGCCACCCUCUAAAACGAGCCGGGAGCUCUGGAACGAACCAUCACCCCUCCGGAAGAAGGGGAGUAUGGGAGGAGGCUGCAGCAGGUUGGGGCACUGGGGAUGGGGGGGUGAAAAAGAGAGGUGUUUACUCUCUCAAUGCGCAGGCGCGGAAACGAAGCCUCUAGUUCUUAAAGCGAGAGGAAGAAACUGACCUAUUUUCUAUUGAGAUUCUUCUAAUAGGUAGGUUCAUUACAUCAGCCUGACCCAGGAUCGGUUCUGUGAAGACAACAUUCCAAGGAGCUCAGCUCACCCCUCUGCCUUGACAUGUUCCCGUAACUUCAGCUUGGCGCUAACGCCUUUUAAAUACUAAAUCAUUCGUUCAUUCCUUCGUUCGGCAGAGACCAAGUGAGCUGGCCUCGUGCUGGGCUCUUGGGCCACUAUGAGCUCACAGUAUGGUGGUGGAGACAAGCAAGUACAUGCACAAUCCCCACACAGUGUACCCAAGUGUUGCAGGAGCUCAGAGGAGGGACUGGCUUAAUCCUCCUUUGGAGAGAGGUGGCAGCCAUGGCUUUGCUUUUGAGCUGGAGCAUAAAGGAUGAGUACGAGUUAGACUGAGGAGGGGGAAGCGGAGAGAAUCCUCCAGGCUCGUGGAGCAGUACAGUUGUGAUGUGGGAGAGAGAUUCACAUGAGGACCUCUCUGAGGUCAGAUUCAGGUUCCUUGGGAGAGGAGAGACCAAGCUUCUUCCUUCCUCCCACCCAGGAUCUGCCAAAGCUUUGCCUGCUCCUUGAAAAACGUUACUGAGCUGAUGGAGAAGUCCAGAAUUGGAGGGAAGUCUGUACCCUCCAAGGAAGUGGCCCACCCUCACCUCCCCCCAGCAUUCCUGGAGCCCCUCCCCCAUCUUCCCUGCUCCUUGUUGGUGUGUGUGGGGGGUGUUCAUGUUUGUAGGGGUGAGGAGAGGCCUGCAGAGCCAGUGAGCCAGAGACAAGAGCCUCUGAACUCCUGCCACAGCUGGUAAACACUGAGCACUCACUAUGGGCUAGAUAAUACAUUACGUUCUUACAGAGUUGAUCAUGUUUUUUUCUUUUUUAAAAAAAUCAAUUUAAAUUCAAUUUAGUUGAAAUACAACGUAUUAUUGGUUUCAGCGGAUAGAAUUUAGUGAUUCAUCAGUUGCAUAUAACACCCAGCACUUAUUUAUUAUUAUUAUUAUUUUUAUGAUAGUCACACAGAGAGAGAGAGAGAGGCAGAGACAGAG